rnacentral:rRNA from 1 species
AUUGGACAAUGGGCGMAAGCCUAUCCAGCCAUGCCGCUUGAGUGAUGAAGGCCCUAGGGUUGUAAAGCUCUUUUAUGCGGGAAGAUAAUGACGGUACCCCAAGAAUAAGCCSCGGCAAAUUUCGUGCCAGCAGCCGCGGUAAUACGAAGGGGGCAAGCGUUGUUNGGAAUUACUGGGCGUAAAGGGYGCGUGGGCGGGUCUUUAAGUCAGGGGUGAAAUCCCGGGGCUCAACUCCRGAACUGCCUUUGAUACUGGGGAUCUUGAGUUCGGGAGAGGUGAGUGGAAUUCCGAGUGUAGAGGUGAAAUUYGUAGAUAUUSGGAAGAACACCAGUGGCGAAGGCGGCUCACUGGCCCGAUACUGACGCUGAGGCRCGAAAGCGUGGGGAGCAAACAGGAUUAGAUACCCUGGUAGUCCACGCCGUAAACGAUGAAAGCCAGCCGUU